UGAUAGCUCAGUUGGUAGAGCAGUAGACUGAAAAUCUACGUGUCGUUGGUUCAAUUCCGACUCA
rnacentral:tRNA from 1 species